CCUACGGGUGGCAGCAGUGAGGAAUAUUGGUCAAUGGCCGGAAGGCUGAACCAGCCAAGUCGCGUGAGGGACGACUGCCCUAUGGGUUGUAAACCUCUUUUAUAAGGGAAGAAUAAAUGCUACGUGUAGCAUGAUGCCUGUACCUUAUGAAUAAGCAUCGGCUAACUACGUGCCAGCAGCCGCGGUAAUACGUAGGGGGCAAGCGUUAUCCGGAUUUACUGGGUGUAAAGGGGGCGCAGACGGCGAUGCAAGCCAGGAGUGAAAGCCCGGGGCCCAACCCCGGGACUGCUCUUGGAACUGCGUGGCUAGAGUGCAGGAGGGGCAGGCGGAAUGCGCGGUGUAGCGGUGAAAUGCAUAGAUAUCGCGCAGAACCCCGAUUGCGAAGGCAGCGUGCCGUGCCGCCACUGACGCUGAGGCACGAAAGCGCGGGGAUCGAACAGGAUUAGAUACCCUUGUAGUC
rnacentral:rRNA from 1 species